GGGAGUCUCUUCUUCUUUUCCCCCCUCUCUCCUUUUGGUGUGGAGGGGUGUGGGAGGAAGAAGCCCCUU
rnacentral:rRNA from 1 species